UGAACGCUAGCGACAGGCCUAACACAUGCAAGUCGAGGGGCAGCACAAGGAGCAAUCUGAGGUGGCGACCGGCGCACGGGUGAGUAACACGUAUGCAACCUGCCUGUAAGCGGGGAAUAACCCGUUGAAAGACGGACUAAUACCGCAUAAUACUAAAUUACUGCAUGGUAAUUUAUUUAAACAUUUAUGGCUUACAGAUGGGCAUGCGCAUGAUUAGCUAGUUGGAGAGGUAACGGCUCCCCAAGGCAACGAUCAUUAGGGGUUCUGAGAGGAAGGUCCCCCACACUGGUACUGAGACACGGACCAGACUCCUACGGGAGGCAGCAGUGAGGAAUAUUGGUCAAUGGACGAGAGUCUGAACCAGCCAAGUCGCGUGCAGGAAGAAUGUCCUAAUGGAUUGUAAACUGCUUUUGCAGGGGAAUAAAGUGCAUCACGUGUGAUGUUUUGUAUGUACUCUGCGAAUAAGGAUCGGCUAACUCCGUGCCAGCCGCUGC
rnacentral:rRNA from 1 species